AGAGUAAAAAUAACUCCUAAAAAUAUUUGCAAUAUUUUACUGAAGUGGAGCAACAAAUCAUCAGAGCUCUAUAAUACUGUGUCCUGUUUCAGGAGUAACAUUCCAUCGAGAACCAAUCGCAACAUGAAGAUAUUUUACCUGCUCUUCACAUUCCUUUUCCUUGCAUUCCUGCCUGGACCAGGGAAUGCCGUUGCCCAGUGCCGGAAACGAGGAGGAUACUGCAUGAACUUUCCCUGUAAUGCAGGCUAUACUUACAUUGGAAAAAUGGAUUGCUUGAGAAAAGUGUGCUGUUUACCACGCAGCUAAGAAUAAUGCCAUCUCCCUCUACUGUCCAGCAUGUCUUCAAGAUCUGGCCAAUGACCUGAGAUCACUACUUGCUAUUGCUUUAUCUACCUUUAUAUAAAUCCAAAUUACUAUCUAUCGGACGCUAACACAUGUAUGCAUUGAAGGAAGAUUUGGCACCUUUUCCUUGAAAUACAGCUAAGUGAGCAUU